rnacentral:rRNA from 1 species
UUCCAGACUCCUACGGGAGGCAGCAGUGGGGAAUAUUGGACAAUGGGGGGAACCCUGAUCCAGCGACGCCGCGUGAGUGAAGAAGUAUUUCGGUAUGUAAAGCUCUAUCAGCAGGGAAGAAAGAAAUGACGGUACCUGACUAAGAAGCCCCGGCUAACUACGUGCCAGCAGCCGCGGUAAUACGUAGGGGGUAAGCGUUAUCCGGAUUUACUGGGUGUAAAGGGAGCGUAGACGGCGAUGCAAGUCUGAAGUGAAAGCCCGGGGCCCAACCCCGGGACUGCUCUUGGAACUGCGUGGCUGGAGUGCAGGAGGGGCAGGCGGAAUUCCUGGUGUAGCGGUGAAAUGCGUAGAUAUCAGGAGGAACACCGGUGGCGAAGGCGGCCUGCUGGACUGCAACUGACGUUGAGGCCCGAAAGCGUGGGGAGCAAACAGGAUUAGAUACCCUAGUA